GUUUAGAGUGAUCACCUUGGAUACCAGUUUUAGCCCUGUCAAUCAGCUGUACAACAUUGUGGAACUUGAGGAUGUUCAUCACAACAGGAUUGGACAGUGGGUCAAUACUACAUCUAGUGGCAACAUUAUGCAGCUUUCUCACCCCCUCAACUCUGAAGCACCUGUAGGAUCCUAUACCAUUGUAGUUUGGAUUGGUGAAAAAAAUAUAUACCAUCACUUCAAGAUACACGUAUGGACAGCCUGUACCUGGCAAAGCAAAGGUAGAGUUGUGCCAACCCUUAUGACACAAUGUAUUGAUACCAAUAACAAUUGAUGAGGAAAACCCACAAGGAGUUCCUGAUUAUACACCC